GGUAGGGUGGCCGAAUGUUAGGCGGUGGGCUGUAGACUCAUUAACAGGGGUUUAAUUCCCUUCCUUAUCA
rnacentral:tRNA from 1 species